rnacentral:rRNA from 2 species
AACCGACACAGGUAGUCAAGAUGAGAAUUCUAAGGUGAGCGAGCGAACUCUCGUUAAGGAACUCGGCAAAAUGACCCCGUAACUUCGGGAGAAGGGGUGCUCUUUAGGGUUAACGCCCAGAAGAGCCGCAGUGAAUAGGCCCAAGCGACUGUUUAUCAAAAACACAGGUCUCUGCUAAACCGUAAGGUGAUGUAUAGGGGCUGACGCCUGCCCGGUGCUGGAAGGUUAAGAGGAGUGGUUAGCUUCUGCGAAGCUACGAAUCGAAGCCCCAGUAAACGGCGGCCGUAACUAUAACGGUCCUAAGGUAGCGAAAUUCCUUGUCGGGUAAGUUCCGACCCGCACGAAAGGCGUAACGAUUUGGGCACUGUCUCAACGAGAGACUCGGUGAAAUCAUAGUACCUGUGAAGAUGCAGGUUACCCGCGACAGGACGGAAAGACCCCGUGGAGCUUUACUGUAGCCUGAUAUUGAAAUUCGGCACAGCUUGUACAGGAUAGGUAGGAGCCUUUGAAACGUGAGCGCUAGCUUACGUGGAGGCGCUGGUGGGAUACUACCCUAGCUGUGUUGGCUUUCUAACCCGCACCACUUAUCGUGGUGGGAGACAGUGUCAGGCGGGCAGUUUGACUGGGGCGGUCGCCUCCUAAAAGGUAACGGAGGCGCUCAAAGGUUCCCUCAGAAUGGUUGGAAAUCAUUCAUAGAGUGUAAAGGCAUAAGGGAGCUUGACUGCGAGACCUACAAGUCGAGCAGGGUCGAAAGACGGACUUAGUGAUCCGGUGGUUCCGCAUGGAAGGGCCAUCGCUCAACGGAUAAAAGCUACCCCGGGGAUAACAGGCUUAUCUCCCCCAAGAGUUCACAUCGACGGGGAGGUUUGGCACCUCGAUGUCGGCUCAUCGCAUCCUGGGGCUGUAGUCGGUCCCAAGGGUUGGGCUGUUCGCCCAUUAAAGCGGUACGCGAGCUGGGUUCAGAACGUCGUGAGACAGUUCGGUCCCUAUCCGUCGUGGGCGUAGGAAAUUUGAGAGGAGCUGUCCUUAGUACGAGAGGACCGGGAUGGACAUACCUCUGGUGUACCAGUUGUCGUGCCAACGGCAUAGCUGGGUAGCUAUGUGUGGACGGGAUAAGUGCUGAAAGCAUCUAAGCAUGAAGCCCCCCUCAAGAUGAGAUUUCCCAACUUCGGUUAUAAGAUCCCUCAAAGAUGAUGAGGUUAAUAGGUUCGAGGUGGAAGCAUGGUGACAUGUGGAGCUGACGAAUACUAAUCGAUCGAAGACUUAAUCAA